GUUUUUUUCCCUCCAUAGAUGGAAUGGCUGUCAAUAUUGAAAAAUAUAGUGCCAUUACAGACGAACUAGAGUUCAUCAGUCCAAUCAGAUUUCAAAGGGAUAAACCCACAAAGGACCGAACCAAUGUGUACCCUCACAAGAAACGCAUCAAUAUAUUUCUCUACGGUAUUGUGGCGUUUCUAAAUUUCUUGGGAAUUUUUACAGCUUGUAGUUUCCUGGUCUUCAGUGUGAAACACCGCAAUCAUUGGGCCAUUAGCAUGUCAAGACCUUUUAUGAACGCUUUGAUUAUUUUUGGCGCUGUGUUGUCUUAUUCCUCCAUUUUCUUCAUGGGACUAGAUGGGUCUUAUGUUUCCGACAGAGUGUUUGACGUUUCUUGCUCUGUAAGUACU